rnacentral:lncRNA from 1 species
UGUCUAUUCAUUCUGUGGUUCCUGACCGGGAAACACUCAGCUUGUACAAUUCUUUACAUAGGUGUGGAAGUAAAUGCUCUGUAAUAAAAGGAAUUAGGUUAAGAUUGGUUAAAGUACAUUAAAGGCAAAAGGAAAUUUAAGCAUAUACAAGAAAAGUGUCCAGUACCUAUAAUUACGAGCUUUCUAGUUAGAAUAUGUUCCAAAUUGAUCACCAGUCACUGAAGGAAAUCAAACUUCUUCAAACCAGGAAACGUCAUGUUAGAGUUGUCUACACGAACACGUCAGAACAUGAAUAUGGAAAUGAAGUCUCAGAAGCUGCACAAUUAACUCCAUGAGAAAACAUUUCC